UGAAUACGAGACGCUAAGGCGUCGAAGUAGUGUAUAUCAGACUUCCAAGAAAAGCUUGCACUGUCAUAGAUAAAAAAUGCCUGUACCAUAACCGACACAGGUGGGUAGGUAGAGUAUACUAAGGGGCGCGAGAUAACUCUCUCUAAGGAACUCGGCAAAAUAACUCCGUAACUUCGGGAGAAGGAGUGCCUUAUUUAUAAGGUUGCAAUAACAAGAUCCAAGCAACUGUUUAACAAAAACACAGGUCUCCGCUAAGUCGUAAGACGAUGUAUGGGGGCUGACGCCUGCCCAGUGCCAGAAGGUUAAAGAAGUUGGUUAGCAAUUGCGAAGCUGAUAACUGAAGCCCUGGUGAACGGCGGCCGUAACGAUAACGGUCCUAAGGUAGCGAAAUUCCUUGUCGGGUAAGUUCCGACCCGCACGAAAGGCGUAAUGAUUUGGAUACUGUCUCGGAGAGGGGCUCGGUGAAAUAGACUUGUCUGUGAAGAUGCGGACUACCUGCACCAGGACAGAAAGACCCUAUGAAGCUUUACUGUAACUUGAAAUUGAAAUUGGACUUUAUUCGCGCAGCAUAGGUGGGAGGCGUUGAUUAUAAUCUUGCGGGAUUAUUGGAGCCAUCAGUGAGAUACCACUCUUGUAAUGUUAGAUUUCUAACUUUGAAUCAUUAUCUGGUCAAAGAACAGUUUCAGGCGGGCAGUUUGACUGGGGCGGUCGCCUCCUAAAUGGUAACGGAGGCGUACAAAGGUUUCCUCUGAACGGUUAGAAAUCGUAUCUAGAGUGUAAAGGCAUAAGGAAGCUUGACUGUGAGACCUACAAGUCGAGCAGGGACGAAAGUCGGUCUUAGUGAUCUGACGGUACUGAGUGGAAAGGCCGUCACUCAACGGAUAAAAGUUACUCUAAGGAUAACAGGCUGAUCUCCCCCAAGAGUUCACAUCGACGGGGAGGUUAGGCACCUCGAUGUCGGCUCAUCGCAUCCUGGGGCGGUAGUACGUCCCAAGGGUUGGGCUGUUCGCCCAUGAAAGCGGUACGCGAGCUGGGUUCAGAACGUCGUGAGACAGUUCGGUCCAUAUCCGGUGUAGGCGUUAGAAUAUUGAGAGGAGCCUUCUUUAGUACGAGAGGACCGAGAAGGACAUACCUCUGGUGUACCAGUUAUCGUGCCAACGGUAAACGCUGGGUAGCUAUGUAUGGAGUGGAUAACCGCUGAAAGCAUCUAAGUGGGAAGCCCACCUCAAGAUAAGUAUUCUCC
rnacentral:rRNA from 1 species